CGUACAGGUCUCCGUAGGUGAACCUGCGGAGGGAUCAUUACACAAAUAUGAAAGCGGGCUGGAACCUCUCGGGGUUACAGCCUUGCUGAAUUAUUCACCCUUGUCUUUUGCGUACUUCUUGUUUCCUUGGUGGGUUCGCCCACCACUAGGACAAACAUAAACCUUUUGUAAUUGCAAUCAGCGUCAGUAACAAAUUAAUAAUUACAACUUUCAACAACGGAUCUCUUGGUUCUGGCAUCGAUGAAGAACGCAGCGAAAUGCGAUAAGUAGUGUGAAUUGCAGAAUUCAGUGAAUCAUCGAAUCUUUGAACGCACAUUGCGCCCUUUGGUAUUCCAAAGGGCAUGCCUGUUCGAGCGUCAUUUGUACCCUCAAGCUUUGCUUGGUGUUGGGCGUCUUGUCUCUAGCUUUGCUGGAGACUCGCCUUAAAGUAAUUGGCAGCCGGCCUACUGGUUUCGGAGCGCAGCACAAGUCGCACUCUCUAUCAGCAAAGGUCUAGCAUCCAUUAAGCCUUUUUUCAACCUUUGACCUCGGAUCAGGUAGGGAUACCCGCUGAACUUAAGCAUAUC
rnacentral:rRNA from 1 species